GCCGCGGUGGUGAAAUUGGUAUACACGCUACCUUGAGGUGGUAGUGGGCGCUUUAGCUCGUGGGAGUUCGAGUCUCCCCCGCGGCACCA
rnacentral:tRNA from 1 species